rnacentral:rRNA from 1 species
UCUCGAUAGGUGAAGAACUCUGGAAUGAGUCCUCGCCUAAAAGACGCUAAGGUUAUGCUCUUUGGCGUCGCCCAAGGAUGAGGCCGCGACCGAUCAGGUUGUUGGUGAGGUAAUGGCUCACCAAGCCUUUUACCGGUGCGGGCCGUGAGAGCGGGAGCCCGGAGAUGGGCACUGAGACAAGGGCCCAGGCCCUACGGGGCGCAGCAGUCGCGAAAACUUUGCAAUACACGAAAGUGUGACAGGGCUAUCCCGAGUGCCAUCCGCUGAGGAAGGCUUUUACCCAGUCUAGAACGCUGGGGGAAUAAGGAGAGGGCAAGUCUGGUGUCAGCCGCCGCGGUAAUACCAGCUCUCCGAGUGGUGUGGAUGUUUAUUGGGCCUAAAGCAUCCGUAGCUGGCUAAGUUAGUCCCUUGUUAAAUCCACCGAAUUAAUCGUUGGAUUGCGGGGGAUACUGCUUGGCUAGGGGACGAGAGAGGCAGACGGUAUUUCCGGGGUAGGGGUGAAAUCCUAUAAUCCCGGGAAGACCACCAGUGGCGAAGGCUGUCUGCUAGAACGCGCCCGACGGUGAGGGAUGAAAGCUGGGGGAGCGAACCGGAUUAGAUACCCGGGUAGUCCCAGCUGUAAACGAUGCAGGCUAGGUGUUUGGACGGCCACGUGCCGUUCUAGUGCCGCAGGGAAGCUGUUAAGCCUGCCGCC